UAAAUCCUUCUCCCAAUCCCUGUCGCAUCCGCAUCCGCACCGGCACCUCGACUGCAUCCCUAGCCGCCACCCGCUACUCUCUUGACCACCGCAACAACUAACCAUAUCCAUCUCUCUCUCACUCCUCACCUGCUGCCGCUGCCGCCGGUGGCGAUGGAGACCUUCCUGCGGCUGCGCGGCGCCGACUCCACCUCCGGCCAGCAGCUCGGCCUCCGCAUCCACGCCAAGCAGAAGCCCCGACCCUCCUAUCCAUCCGACGGCAGUGCUCCUUUUCGUGGAGAUGGAAGAUGACCGGCCAGGCAGCGGCUGUCUCUUCUGCUCAAGCCCGAUGCACAGAUCCGUGUUGGAAAUGUUGGUAUGUGAUGGAAUAAAGAAGGGAGUGGGUAGGCGCAUGGAUCUGGGGCUCUAAUUGUCAACAGCGGGUGUGGAGAGGGAUGAGGUGAUGGAUGAAUUACAGCUUGUAAUUAGCGUGUAUUUUUGCUAUAAUUGAUCUUGAUCGAUAUAGCAUGGA